UACCAGACUCCUAUGGGAGGCAGCAGUGGGGAAUAUUGCACAAUGGGGGAAACCCUGAUGCAGCGACGCCGCGUGGGUGAAGGAGCACCUCGGUGCGUAAAGCCCUAUCGGCAGGGAAGAAACAGACGGUACCUGACUAAGAAGCCCCGGCUAACUACGUGCCAGCAGCCGCGGGAAUACGUAGGGGGCAAGCGUUAUCCGGAUUCACUGGGGGUAAAGGGAGCGUAGACGGCAGCACAAGUCUGGAGUGAAAUCCCGGGGCGUAACCCCGGAACUGCUUUGGAAACUGUGCGGCUGGAGUGCAGGAGGGGUAAGCGGAAUUCCUAGUGUAGCGGUGAAAUGCGUAGAUAUUAGGAGGAACACCGGUGGCGAAGGCGGCUUACUGGACUGUAACUGACGUUGAGGCUCGAAAGCGUGGGGAGCAAACAGGAUUAGAUACCCCCGUACUA
rnacentral:rRNA from 1 species